rnacentral:rRNA from 1 species
UACGGGGGGGGCAAGCGUUGUUCGGAAUUACUGGGCGUAAAGGGCUCGUAGGUGGCCAACUAAGUCAGACGUGAAAUCCCUCGGCUUAACCGGGGAACUGCGUCUGAUACUGGAUGGCUCUGAGUUUGGGAGAGGGAUGCGGAAUUCCAGGUGUAGCGGUGAAAUGCGUAGAUAUCUGGAGGAACACCGGUGGCGAAGGCGGCAUCCUGGACCAACACUGACGCUGAGGAGCGAAAGCCAGGGGAGCAAACGGG